CUCGGCAAAAAACUGUUAUUAAAACACUUCCUGGGGACAUAAUUUACCAUAGGCCGGUGAGCGUGGAGAAAGGCCAGCACGUUUAGAAUCCAUUUCGCUGCUCGGAAGCCACUGUGAAAAAGCAACUGUAGGUCCCUGGUAAUUGCUACACCAACCUAUGAACCUCUUUAAUUUCCAUACAUCCUGAAGGGAUCAAAUGUUCGCCCUAAGUACAGCGUCAGUGCCAAGGUUUUAUGUGUGUGUGUGUGUGUGUGUGUGUGUGUGUGUGUGUAUGUGUUUCUGUGUUGUCGAGCAGGCCAACCUGUGCUGUCCCGGCUCUUGACGAGGACUGCUGCUGUGCAAACAUCGGCCCCUGGGAGUCGGCCGGACUCAGGCAGACUGGAGGAGGACGGCCCCGGCAAGUGUCCCGUCGAGGACUUGCAAAUCAAGACGGAAAACGAGAGAUGGGCGGACAGGUAGGCCCGCUCAGCUGUCAGCGCUGUCCCUCGUCUACCUUCACUCCCCCCCCUCGCCUUUCCUCCCGAUCACAGCUCUGCCAUUUGUGUUCCCAUCAGUCAUUUUCAUAGCCCCAUCCCUCUCCUCUUCUCUCUCUCUCAAUGUUAGAUGAGGACAUUGCACCCCACCUCUGCCUGAUACUUGAGCAUCUGCUUCCUUCUGCCACUUGUUGUCUCCGGAGAGUUUGAUGCUUAUGGGGGUUCUGUGUGAACUGGGUCAAAAAGCUUCCUCAUUCCUGUACAGAUGUCUGGUUCAUGCAAAGGAAAUAGGUUCUAAUAACAUGUUGAGGAAAUAUUGUGCCAUAACCAGAGGUUAGUAGUGCAACUCUGAAAUGCUGAAGAAUCCUGCAAUACCUGCCAAGCACUGCAUGUAAGAUACAUUUAGAGGUCUACAAGGCAGUCAUUGUAUGUAUAAAUAGCCCUACACCACUGCUAUCUGCCUGAAUCUAAAAGUGAGGUUGCAACAGUGAUAAAGGUCCAAUGUGAGAUGACAUAGAUUUACCCUAUUUAUGGACACAAGUGGGAAAACUUGAUACAGUACAAUUCAGGAAAGUAAAGCUAGGAAUUACAUCUAUUUUGGAAUUCUUUCAAAUCUGCACCCAACUUUGAGUAUAAGCUGACCCAGAUGCUUCAAAGCUUUUACCGCCGAAACCUGAACUUGCAAUGUUUUCCUCAUAGACUUUACUUGAGCAGGCCACCCAGGUAUAGUAAUAACAAAAACACAGAGAGAGAGAGAGAGAGAGAGAGAGAGAGAGAGAGAGACAUGAUCUGGCAUUACAGACGAUGCAAACAUGGUGCAUAGCCUAUUUUACAAGCACAGGUGAAACAUGGUUAACAACUGGUUUUCUCCAUACACGACUCACAUGCUGUUGUGAACACAGAAUCACGUGUGAAAAAUACAAGACAUGAGUUUUGUGUUUUGGGCAAAGAAAGUCAACAGACAGGGAGAGAGACAGAAAAGAGGUGGGGCAGGACAAGCCAGUGUGCAUGCAGAGCGGUGCAGAGAGAGAGAGAGAGAGAGAGAUCAACCCCUUCAGAGCACAUACUUUUCUCAAAUGAACUCCAGACUGGAGACCUUCGGAGCUUCGAAUAUUCACGGGUCAUUGUCACUUAAGCUUCAAACAACAAAAUGAUAAUCAGGACAGCCCUACUUAAGUGUCAGUGCAGAAAGUUGUGUGCCCAUUAUGUAGUCGAGGUCGACUUGUUGGGUCGGUGCGUUUCACGCCUGACUUUCAUGCAGGAUGCACACGCUGUCAAAGACCUGCGUUCAGCGUUUGCCUUUUUAUUAACCCAUACCUCGAUCUUCCCUUAACUUUACUGAAGUUUAUAAGUUACUUAAUCCUUCCCUUAAUCAUACAUCAUUUCCCAUAACCACAAUUUUGUCCUUCGUCUGACCAGUAAUGUCAUCACACAUUUCUCAACAAUCAUACCUUUCAAAUCAAACUGCCUUUCUCUCCAUAAUCCAUAGCCCAUACGUUCGAUUGAGAUUGAUCCCACACUGUUCUGCUUCAACAGGGAACCGAUCCUAUUAUAUUAUGAUAGCAAUUUAAUGGGACCUUUAAUGAAAUAAAAAAAAUAAUAAUUAAAUCACAAAAGAAUAAUUAUGGUUAAUCCUGAGAAAUACCAGUGAUGUUUUCUAAUAUGCUCGGCCUAAUUUUUAAUCAUGAAGCCAUGUGAUUAAAUGUGCUCAUGGUCCUUUUUUUACUUUUACAAAGCAGUGUGCCUUGAAUUUUGCAGAACCCCCCCUCAAAUUCACAUUACCUGCCUGUGUUUCUGGAGCGCCUGCUUUUUAAUAAUUAUCAGAUUUAAGUAGCACUUACUCUAUUGUGUUUCUUAUCCUUGUAAUUGUG
rnacentral:lncRNA from 15 species